AAUUGCAAUGAAAAAUGUAGAAGAAAUAAUAAGGUAAGGAAGAAAGUUCCAAGUUGGUAUUGCAUUAUUUAUUUCAUGUUGAGAAGAUGAGGCCAUGUUGAAGUCUAUGAUUAUAAAGACAAUAGAAAGCUAUUAUAGCUUUGCCAACCAAAACAAAACAAACCAAAACCCACCACUCUUUGUCCUAUGCAACCAACCAAACUAAACCAACAAGAGUGUUUAAAACACAAAAUAUUUUAACACAAAAAAGGUUGAAGACGACGGGUGGGUUUGUCUAUGGCAAUGGCUCCAAAGUCCGCUCCCGACUUCGACUAGCUCCUUACCUGGAAAAAAAAAUGGAAAAUAAGGAAUGAGUACAAAGACUUAAUAAGCAACCUACUUGUAAGCUCUUAAUCAUGUUCUUGAUAUGUUAGGGUACCACACUCUUUCUUUUCUUGUUCUUGUUCUUGUCGUGAGUACUUAGGCCCUCUAGUUUCUUAUUCUUGACUUGUGGGUUCUUAUCAUGUUCUAUCCCAAAGACCUUGGUCCUUGGAUUCUGAAACCUUGAUUAUUCUCUGAGGGGCUUAGUACUAUGGUUCUUGUCCUUAGAACUU